AUGGUGAUCGGUCCAAGAAUGGUGGUUGUUGUUGUUAUAGUCAUGAGCUUCGCCGUCUUCCUAGGCAUCGUUUUUGCUGAUCCCGACAUGCUCCAAGAUGUCUGUGUCGUCGAUCUCGCUUCCAAAGUGAAAGUCAAUGGAUUCCCUUGCAAAGCGGAUUUCAACGAAACGGACUUCUUCUACAAUGGGCUGGCCAAACCCGGACUCCCCAACAACACCUUAGGCAAUCUGGUGAGAAGGCGCAAUGUCCUAAAGAUCCCAGGCCUCAACACCCUCGACAUGUCCUUGGACCGUAGCGACUUUGCUCCUUUCGGCCUCAGUGCACCCCAUACCCACCCAUGAGCCAUUGAGAUGGUGUUCGUGCUCUAUGGGGAGAUAUACGGCGGAUUCAUAACCACUGCUAAUGUCCUCGUUGCUUAGACCAUCAAGGCAGGCGAGAUCUUUGUUUUCCCUAGAGGUUUGGUCCACUUCCAAAUGAACGUCCAAAACACCCCUGCGGCCACCAUUGCGGCAUUCAACAGCCAAUUGCCAGGAGCCUCGUUUAUCGCAACUACACUGUUCGCGGCUGAACCCACGGUGCCGAACAAUGUGCUAGCCAAGGCAUUCCAGAUUGAUGUUAAGGAGGUCGAGAUGAUCAAGGCUAAGCUAGCCCCCAAGAGCUAG